GUGCGCCACCUAGGAGACACCACCUGCAAACAAAACGCAGCACAAGACAUUAAAUCCCAAAUUUCAGAUGAAUCAGCCAUUCGAUGUCAUUGUUGUUAACCCCAGAAGAUACAAUGGGCCAAAUCUACUGCUAAAAUAUAUAAAAGAUUUCACCUAGUCCAUAUACUGUAGCUGUGGAUGAAUGGAGCUCUCCAUAUUAUGCUUUACGAGAUCGCCAAGGUAAUGCUAUCGUGGUCGCUGCCUGUGAUAUUGAUGAAGAUGGAAGUACCUGAAAUGACCUACCAUGUGGGGGGGUCUUCAAAGCCGCAAAAAGAGCUGAAGUCACGAAAAGACCCGAAGUUGAAGUCCUGAAGCCUUGAAAGGACCCAAAGCCAGGAAAGGAAGCGGCUGGGUUGAUUAUCUGCAAAGCUUCUGGAUAAUUUUUGGAGCAGCUGGAUUAUCUUCAAAACAAUUGGGAGGAUUAUCCUCAGAUACAGGGAGGAUUAUUUUCCGAGCGGAUGGAAAAAUUGUAUUCAGAAGGACUAAGAUGAUUCUCUGCAGAGCGCCUGGGAGGAGUGGUUGGAUUAUCUUCAGAGUGGUUGGAUUAUCUUCAGAGCGGCUAGGAGCAUUACCUUAAGAACAUCUGGAUUACUUUAAGAACAGAUGGAUUACCUUAAAAACAGAUGGAUUACCUUAAAAACAGAUGGAUUACCUUAAAAACAGAUGGAUUACCUUAAAAACAGAUGGAUAACCUUAAAAACAGCUGGAUUACCUUAAAAACAGCUGGAUUACCUUAAAAACAGCUGGAUUACCUUAAAAACAGCUGGAUUACCUUAAAAACAGAUGGAUUACCUUAAAAACAGAUGGAUUACCUUAAAAACAGAUGGAUUACCUUCAGAGCAGCUGGAUUACCUUCAGAGCAGCUGGAUUAUCUUCAGUGGAUUAUCUGCAGAAAGAGAGCGCGUUGCUGUGUGUCUACAUCUAAUUACAUUUUAAAUAUGCCAUGGAACAGCCCAAUCAGUAGUGUCCCAUUGCUAGUUCGGGCCUGUUACUCGCUGCUUAUGCUUUAAAUUACAAGAUGUUUUUAUAAGAUCAACACCAGAAGGAAAAGUAGUGAUGCAUUAUAUUACUAAUAGAUUUCUCACAAUAGUGCAAGAUAGAACGCUGUAUUGAUUAUGCAGAAUGUUCUACCAUACCUGCAUAAAACAGCUCUAGAAGCUCUUCAUUUGCUUAUGAUUGCGGCACCAUAUAAGUUCUGUGUGAUGUAACUUCCUGUUCCUGCUGAAUUGUGCUUACUACAGGGGAUACCUAUGCUGCCAUAGUUUUACUGGAGAUCACUGGGAUUUUUUAACGUUUUAUACGUUUUACAUUUUCUACCUAUUUUACACUUUUACUAUUACCCUGGACUAAUGAGGUAAUUGGUGGGAGGAGGAACACUGUGUGGUAAUUAAGGUUAUAAGAGGUGUUUUGAUCAUAGUUACAUAGUUACAUAGUUAAAUUGGGUUGAAAAAAGACAAAGUCCA